rnacentral:tRNA from 1 species
GAUAGGUUUUUUUAGUCUUCUAAACUAAUGUUGGGUGAUCCCGUCUAUUU